GCCGAGGUGGCGGAAUAGGCAGACGCGCUACCUUGAGGGGGUAGUGCCCGAAAGGGCGUGGGGGUUCAAAUCCCUUCCUCGGCACCA
rnacentral:tRNA from 5 species